rnacentral:lncRNA from 1 species
GUGCGCACACAUUUUCAUUGGCUAACUAUGAAUACAACAACUAAACUCUCUCUCUCAUUCAUUCUCCUCUCUUUCUACUCCAUCACCUCUUGGUUCAGUCCACGUUCAGCUGCGGAAGCACCCGAGCCGGUGCUCGACAUCACUGGAAAAGUACUCCGGACCGGCAUUGAUUACUACAUAUUGCCUGUCAUUCGGGGCAGAGGUGGUGGGCUUACACUAGCCCUCAUUAAUGAAACUUGCCCUCUCGACGUUGUUCAAGAGCAAGUGGAAGUAAAAAAUGGCCUUCCAUUGACAUUUACACCGGUCCAUCCUAAUAAAGGGCUGAUCCCUGUCUCCACUGAUCUAAACAUCAAGUUCUCGGCUUCCUCAACCUGCGUUCAGUCCACUGUAUGGAAGCUCGACGGAUCAGCCGGGAAAUAUUUCAUAACAACCGGUGGAGUUGAAGGCAAUCCCGGCCGCGAAACUAUAAGCAACUGGUUCAAGAUUGAAAAAUAUGAACGUGACUAUAAGAUUGUUUUCUGCCCUACGGU